rnacentral:rRNA from 1 species
UACGUAGGGGCCUAGCGUUGUCCGGAUUUAUUGGGCGUAAAGAGCUCGUAGGCGGUUUGGUGAGUCGGGUGUGAAAUCUCCACGCUCAACGUGGAGGGGCCACCCGAUACUGCCAUGACUAGAGUCCGGUAGGGGAGUGUGGAAUUCCCGGUGUAGCGGUGAAAUGCGCAGAUAUCGGGAGGAACACCAGUGGCGAAGGCGACUACCUGGCCUGUUCUUGACGCUGAGGCGCGAAAGCUAGGGGAGCAAACGGG